rnacentral:rRNA from 1 species
UGGGGAAUAUUGCACAAUGGGCGCAAGCCUGAUGCAGCCAUGCCGCGUGUAUGAAGAAGGCCUUCGGGUUGUAAAGUACUUUCAGUCGGGAGGAAGGUGGUAAGGUUAAUAACCUUAUCAAUUGACGUUACCGACAGAAGAAGCACCGGCUAACUCCGUGCCAGCAGCCGCGGUAAUACGGAGGGUGCAAGCGUUAAUCGGAAUUACUGGGCGUAAAGCGCACGCAGGCGGUUGAUUGAGUCAGAUGUGAAAUCCCAGGGCUUAACCCGGGAAUUGCAUCUGAUACUGGUCAGCUAGAGUCUUGUAGAGGGGGGUAGAAUUCCAUGUGUAGCGGUGAAAUGCGUAGAGAUGUGGAGGAAUACCGGUGGCGAAGGCGGCCCCCUGGACAAAGACUGACGCUCAGGUGCGAAAGCGUGGGGAGCAAACAGG